rnacentral:misc_RNA from 1 species
GAAGAAGCGAAAGUACGAGCUUGGACGUCAACCAGCUAAUACCAAGAUUUCCAGUAACAAGACAGUCAGACGAAUUCGUGUGCGUGGUGGUAAUGUGAAGUGGAGGGCACUGAGGUUGGACACUGGAAACUAUUCAUGGGGUAGUGAGGCAGUCACACGCAAGACUCGUAUCCUUGAUGUGGUUUACAAUGCCUCGAACAAUGAGCUUGUCCGUACACAAACUCUUGUGAAGAGUGCAAUUGUUCAAGUUGAUGCAGCACCAUUUAAACAGUGGUACCUCCAGCACUAUGGUAUUGACAUUGGUAGGAAAAAGAAGGGGGCCGCUAAGAAGGAAACUACAACCGAGGAGGGAGAUGCUGCUGAGGAAGCUAAGAAGAGCAACCAUGUAGUCCGGAAAAUUGAGAAACGUCAGAAGGAUCGUACCCUUGAUAGUCACCUUGAAGAGCAAUUCAGCUCUGGUAGGCUAUAUGCCUGCAUCUCAUCCCGCCCUGGUCAAUGUGGCCGAGCUGAUGGGUACAUUUUGGAAGGGAAAGAGUUGGAAUUCUAUAUGAAGAAACUUCAAAAGAAGAAAGGCAAGGCAUCUGGUGCUUCUGCUUAAGUGAUUCUUUCGGUAUGUCCAGACUAGUUUGUGUUAAUCAAGCUUCAAUUUUGAGAGUGUAUGUGUUUGUAUACACUACCUUUUACCAUAAGUUCAAAGUGAUGACUGGUCUUCAUUAUUACCAUUUUUUUGUAGUUUGAAAUUUUACUACAUUUCAGCGUGUAGUCAUAUAUAAUCACAGGCAGA